rnacentral:rRNA from 1 species
UACGUAGGGUGCAAGCGUUGUCCGGAAUUAUUGGGCGUAAAGAGCUCGUAGGCGGUCUGUUGCGUCGGCUGUGAAAACCCGAGGCUCAACCUCGGGCCUGCAGCCGAUACGGGCAGACUAGAGUUCGGCAGGGGAGACUGGAAUUCCUGGUGUAGCGGUGAAAUGCGCAGAUACCAGGAGGAACACCGGUGGCGAAGGCGGGUCUCUGGGCCGAUACUGACGCUGAGGAGCGAAAGCGUGGGGAGCGAACAGG